rnacentral:rRNA from 1 species
CAAUAGCGUAUAUUAAAGUUGUUGCAGUUAAAAAGCUCGUAGUUGGAUUUCUGGUGGGAGCGAUCGGUCUGGCGCUUAGCGCGAGUACUUGCAUCGUCUCCGGCCAUCCUUGGGGAGAGUCUGUCUGGCAUUAGGUUGUCGGGCAGAGGAUCCUCAUCGUUUACUGUGAAAAAAUUAGAGUGUUCAAAGCAGGCUUAUGCCGUUGAAUAUAUUAGCAUGGAAUAAUAAGAUAGGACUUUGGUACUAUUUUGUUGGUUUGCGCACCAAAGUAAUGAUAAAUAGGGACAGUUGGGGGUAUUCGUAUUCCGUUGUCAGAGGUGAAAUUCUUGGAUUUACGGAAGACGAACUACUGCGAAAGCAUUUACCAAGGAUGUUUUCAUUAA